GGAACGUUGAAGACGACGACGUUGAUAGGCCGGGUGUGUAAGCGCAGCGAUGCGUUGAGCUAACCGGUACUAAUGAACCGUGAGGCUUAACCUU
rfam:Mangrovibacter sp. MFB070 Contig-051, whole genome shotgun sequence.